GAAUAAAAGAAAUGAGAAAAGGAAGAAGAAGAAGAAGAAGAAGAACUGCUGUCAGUAAGUCAAGAGGAUUCUUCUUCCAGUGAAAGUCUCCUCAUUCUCCAUCUUCCUUCCAAUCUCUUCACACCAGCAAAAGUUUGCCUCUUGGAGCGGACAACUAACUAGAAACUUCUUCAGAUUUUCUUCCACUGCCAAGUCGAGCUGAGCAGAGAAAAUUGCCAGACAGAACAAAAGCAUCACCAGGUCCGAAGAAGGAGUUCUGGUGGGGGAAUACAGGAUCUCCAGCACUUCCUGUCAAAGGCCAGCUCCCUUAACUAUGUGUUGGAGGAGUCUGAUGGUCUGGGCUGUUGUCAUAUCUUCGGGCUUGGCUUUUUAUGCAGCGUUGGGCGGGGCUGUAGGUCUAACUCUGGCAUAUUUGUUAGGGUGGGAAGCUGCUGACGCAGCAGUACUUGGCGCACGUGCGGGCGCCGCCGUGGGUGCGAUCGUAGCGAUACUUUAUGUUCACGGUGAAAUCUGCACCUGCCCGGCAACAUCAGGAUGCACGAGACGUGCUGCUGCUGUUCAAACCAGCGUCACACCUGCGUCAGGGUUAGCGCCAGCAAGGGCCACAGAAUCUUCUAGGUGGAUGCUUAGAGUUGGUAGAAGAUGCAACACCUCAGAGAUAUUUGCAGAGCUACACUGGAAAAUAAACAGGUCAAUAAACUGCAUUUAAAAGUCCUUCCAUGGAUUUUGAGGAAAUACAUUUUUAAAACCUCUAGAGCAGGGAUGUCAAACUCAAAUACAGAGUGGGCCAAAAUGUCAAAGUGAACAAAGCCGCGGGCCAAGGAUGAACAUAUGAACCUUUUAAAGGCCUACUGAAAGCCACUACUAGCAACCACGCAGUCUGAUAGUUUAUAUAUCAAUGAUGACAUCUUAACAUUGCAACACAUGCCAAUACGGCCGGGUUAACUUAUAAAGUGACAUUUUAAAAUUCCCGCCACACUUCCGGUUGAAAAAUUGGAUAUGAUUUAUGCGCGUGACGUCACAAAAGCAACGGAAGUGGUUGGACCCCAUCUGACCCAAUAGAAAAGCCUCUUGUUUUCUUCGACAAAAUUCCACAGUAUUCUGGACAUCUGUGUUGGUGAAUCUUUUGCAAUUUGUUUAAUGAACAAUGGAGGCGGCAAAGAAGAACGUUGUAGGUGGGGUCGAUAUAACAGGGACAAUGUAGAACACAAUAUAGAAUGUGAGAUAUAACAGGAUAAUGUAGAACAUAAUAUAGAAUGUGAGAUAUAACAGGGACAAUGUAGAACACAAUAUAGAAUGUGAGAUAUAACAGGAUAAUGUAGAACAUAAUAUAGAAUGUGAGAUAUAACAGGACAAUGUAGAACACAAUAUAGAAUGUGAGAUAUAACAGGAUAAUGUAGAACACAAUAUAGAAUGUGAGAUAUAACAGGAUAAUGUAGAACAUAAUAUAGAAUGUGAGAUAUAACAGGACAAUGUAGAACACAAUAUAGAAUGUGAGAUAUAACAGGAUAAUGUAGAACAUAAUAUAGAAUGUGAGAUAUAACAGGACAAUGUAGAACACAAUAUAGAAUGUGAGAUAUAACAGGAUAAUGUAGAACACAAUAUAGAAUGUGAGAUAUAACAGGAUAAUGUAGAACAUAAUAUAGAAUGUGAGAUAUAACAGGACAAUGUAGAACACAAUAUAGAAUGUGAGAUACAGCAGGACAAUGUAGAACACAAUAUAGAAUGUGAGAUAUAACAGGAUAAUGUAGAACACAAUAUAGAAUGUGAGAUAUAACAGGAUAAUGUAGAACACAAUAUAGAAUGUGAGAUAUAACAGGAUAAUGUAGAACACAAUAUAGAAUGUGAGAUACAGCAGGACAAUGUAGAACACAAUAUAGAAUGUGAGAUACAGCAGGACAAUGUAGAACACAAUAUAGAAUGUGAGAUAUAACAGGACAAUGUAGAACACAAUAUAGAAUGUGAGAUAUAACAGGAUAAUGUACAACACAAUAUAGAAUCUGAGAUAUAACAGGAUAAUGUAGAACACAAUAUAGAAUGUGAGAUAUAACAGGACAAUGUAGAACACAAUAUAGAAUGUGAGAUAUAACAGGACAAUGUAGAACACAAUAUAGAAUGUGAAAUAUAACAGGAUAAUGUAGAACACAAUAUAGAAUGUGAGAUAUAACAGGACAAUGUAGAACACAAUAUAGAAUGUGAGAUACAGCAGGACAAUGUAGAACACAAUAUAGAAUGUGAGAUAUAACAGGAUAAUGUAGAACACAAUAUAGAAUGUGAGAUAUAACAGGAUAAUGUACAACACAAUAUAGAAUGUGAGAUAUAACAGGAUAAUGUAGAACACAAUAUAGAAUGUGAGAUACAGCAGGACAAUGUAGAACACAAUAUAGAAUGUGAGAUACAGCAGGACAAUGUAGAACACAAUAUAGAAUGUGAGAUAUAACAGGACAAUGUAGAACACAAUAUAGAAUGUGAGAUAUAACAGGAUAAUGUAGAACACAAUAUAGAAUCUGAGAUAUAACAGGAUAAUGUAGAACACAAUAUAGAAUGUGAGAUAUAACAGGACAAUGUAGAACACAAUAUAGAAUGUGAGAUAUAACAGGAUAAUGUAGAACAUAAUAUAGAAUGUGAGAUAUAACAGGACAAUGUAGAACACAAUAUAGAAUGUGAGAUACAGCAGGACAAUGUAGAACACAAUAUAGAAUGUGAGAUAUAACAGGAUAAUGUAGAACACAAUAUAGAAUGUGAGAUAUAACAGGAUAAUGUAGAACACAAUAUAGAAUGUGAGAUAUAACAGGAUAAUGUAGAACACAAUAUAGAAUGUGAGAUACAGCAGGACAAUGUAGAACACAAUAUAGAAUGUGAGAUACAGCAGGACAAUGUAGAACACAAUAUAGAAUGUGAGAUAUAACAGGACAAUGUAGAACACAAUAUAGAAUGUGAGAUAUAACAGGAUAAUGUAGAACACAAUAUAGAAUCUGAGAUAUAACAGGAUAAUGUAGAACACAAUAUAGAAUGUGAGAUAUAACAGGACAAUGUAGAACACAAUAUAGAAUGUGAGAUAUAACAGGACAAUGUAGAACACAAUAUAGAAUGUGAGAUAUAACAGGAUAAUGUAGAACACAAUAUAGAAUCUGAGAUAUAACAGGAUAAUGUAGAACACAAUAUAGAAUGUGAGAUAUAACAGGAUAAUGUAGAACACAAUAUAGAAUGUGAGAUAUAACAGGAUAAUGUAGAACAUAAUAUAGAAUGUGAGAUAUAACAGGACAAUGUAGAACACAAUAUAGAAUGUGAGAUAUAACAGGAUAAUGUAGAACACAAUAUAGAAUGUGAGAUAUAACAGGACAAUGUAGAACACAAUAUAGAAUGUGAGAUAUAACAGGAUAAUGUAGAACAUAAUAUAGAAUGUGAGAUAUAACAGGACAAUGUAGAACACAAUAUAGAAUGUGAGAUAUAACAGGAUAAUGUAGAACACAAUAUAGAAUGUGAGAUAUAACAGGAUAAUGUAGAACAUAAUAUAGAAUGUGAGAUAUAACAGGACAAUGUAGAACACAAUAUAGAAUGUGAGAUACAGCAGGACAAUGUAGAACACAAUAUAGAAUGUGAGAUAUAACAGGAUAAUGUAGAACACAAUAUAGAAUGUGAGAUAUAACAGGAUAAUGUAGAACACAAUAUAGAAUGUGAGAUAUAACAGGAUAAUGUAGAACACAAUAUAGAAU